GUCACCCACAUUGAGAAGAUACUAUUAAAUCCGAUUCUUUCUACCAUUCAAAAUUUAAAAGAUUAUAGUCACCAUUGGUUUGAUCCUUCUAAUUUGGACCAACACUAUACUUGUAACAACCCAUUUGAUAACCACAUAUAAAAAAUAAAAAAUCUCAACCACACUCUUCAAAAAUCAAUCUAAUGUUUUCACAAAUUAGAAGCAAUACACUUUCCACAGCAUUAAUCCCGAUCACCGCCCAGUCAAUAUCCAUGUAAUCCUGCAAUGUAUCCUAGAUGAAUACACACGAAAGAAAAGGAACAAUUAAUAAUGAGUAGAAAUAUAAUAUUAAGA